GCCAGCAUGGUUUAGCGGUUUGAGUGUUGGACUACUACUCUGGAGACCAGGGUUCGAUUCCUAGCUUGGCC